UACGGGGGGGGGUAAGCGUUGUUCGGAAUUACUGGGCGUAAAGGGCUCGUAGGCGGCCAACUAAGUCGGACGUGAAAUCCCUCGGCUUAACCGGGGAACUGCGUCUGAUACUGGAUGGCUUGAGUUUGGGAGAGGGAUGCGGAAUUCCAGGUGUAGCGGUGAAAUGCGUAGAUAUCGAGAGGAACACCUGCGGCGAAGGCGGGUUGCUGGGCUGAUACUGACGCUGAGGCGCGAAAGCCAGGGGAGCGAACGGG
rnacentral:rRNA from 1 species